CCAAACCAAAAGUUGGCCGCUUAACUGACUCAGCCACCCACGUGCCCCUAAUUUUCAUUUUAAUAUUUCUUCUGAUCCGUGGGUUAUCUAGAACUGUGUUUAUUAGUUCCCAAGCAGUUGAGGAUAUUUUCAGCCACAUUAUUUUUUUUAUUUGAAAAUUUUGGAUUACAGUAAGAGAUUGUGACCUAUAAAAUCUCUAAUUUUAAAUUAAAAAAAAUUUUCCUUUGUGCCCAAGGAUGCAAUCGAAUUUUAUAAAUGUUCUAUGGGGAAGGAAAAGCUGAGCAGGUCAGACCGAUGCGGAAAAGAAUGGAGUCUUAACAUGUCCUUGUUCUCCAGAUAAAUUGCCCCGUUUCAGAUCUAGCUUCUCUCUGUUUCCAGCUGUGCGUCCACAGAUGAAAGAGGGAAUUUUUUGGAGCAUUUCUUUUCCAUCUUUAAAAUGGGAACAAUAGGAAUACGCACCUGUUAGUGUUUCUGUGAAGAUGAGAGGAGAUUGUGUAAGGAAACACGCCUAGAGGGCUGCCUGACACAGAGUUACUAAAUAGAAAUAUUGCUAUUUUUAUUGUUGGUUUGUUAUUUUUGCAGAAAGGGAGGAAGCUUUACUGUUAGUGCCCUUAGCUUUAUCCCUGCCGCAGAACUGUAGUUUCUGGUUAUCGAGAGGCCUGGAAGGAGGAAAGAGGAAACGGAUAGCUCGAUGAAGCCACCACCCUCCCUGGGAGGGGAGCCACCUGAAACCCAGAGGAAUGGGGCCACUUGCCCAAACAAAUACAGCAAUUUGGUGGCAAAGCCAGGCUUCUAACUCAGGUCUUAACUGGCCAGUUCCCCUCUCUCUGCUGGCGGUCACUCUAGUGUGUCUCUUGAGAGAAGAGGCGGUUGACCGGAGGUUGGCCUCUGUGGUGAGAGAGGGCUGGAAGCUCCUGGUGCGUGGCCACCUCUGAGCUCUGUCACAUGACACCUUCACCAUCUGGGAAGGGCAACUCUGAGGUCAGUGAGUUCGAAGGGGAAGCUGGAGAGAGAGGGUUAGUUGGGCGUGGUUAGAUGCUUUGGACGUUGCUGUUUCAUCGCUCACUGGGGGGCAGGGGGAAAGCAGGACCUGAGCUGGGGAAGGGGUCCUCCAAGGGUGGCUGUGCCCCUCUGGGCCUCAACCCCUUGUGUGCCAGUCUGCCGUGCUUCCUGAGCCCUGGGCUGACCUGGCAAUGGCAGGUGGCUCCUGGCGACGCCAUUGUCAUCUCUCUGUAAUUUUGUUUCCAGGUCUCAAACUUUUAGGGAUCUCUGAAAAGUUCCCAGGCCCUACAGUGCCCAGUGGCUAGCAGAGCCCUAUCAGGCUUGGACGUGGAGAAACAAAAGAAUCGGUACAGUUUUUACGGAGUUCCCAGGCCAUCGAGUGACGAGUGGGUGAACUACUCCGACAAGAGUAAGUAUUGCCAUAAUGGAGUGUGAAUGGAGCCUGGUGAAAGUAUUAUCUGCUCUAGGUUGGGGCCAGAGGGAGUCAAGGAAGACUUGGAGAGAGCAGGUGUGCCCAAGUCAGAAUGUGCACGGUGAACACUUUUCUAAGCAGGUUCCAGAAGGGAAGGACGUUGCGCGCUGAGGAAAUGCAGAAGGAGCUGACUGGAAGAAGCUACGUAUGAACAAGCUGGCUGACCACCCAGUUCUGCCCAUGCUUCUCGCUAGGGCCUUGUUCUUUGGACCAGCAGCGCUGGUAUUAUCCAGGAGUUGACCACCGAUAAGGCUGGACUUCCCCAUGACCUCUUCAGGGCAUCAGGACAUUCCUGCAGAAAAGAGACUAGGAAGGCAGGAGACCCAUCGUCUACUGCUGGCUCUGUCACCAGUUCACUAGGGAUCACGAGGCACUGCUAGCAACCAUAACCCAGAUCCUUCGCCAUGGCAUCCUCCAGUCACCGUCUUACUUCUGAAAGGUGCACAUAGAGCCGGAUACCACCUCUGUAGCCUGCUGCAGAGCUCCUACUGUGCGCCAGCCCCUCGUGCUAUCGCGCUCUGCAGGAACUCCAUGCGCUGGAAGGGACCACCCUUGCCUGCAGGACGAGAGAGCCAUGACCAGGAGAGGUUCCAAGGUGUGCUUAAGGCCCCCGGUUAGCUAGACCCAGAGUCUGGCCUUUGUUUCUGCCACCUUAGCCCUUGAACCUUCCCCUCCUUUGGCCAGACACCAGGUUUUCGCCCUGACAAACAUGCGUUCCCCACCUCCUCAGAGCUUCACCAGGCUUUGUGGAUAGCUUCACUGAAACUGACCAAACUCUGAGCUAUCUUGGGAGCCCAUGUCUAUGUUUUUGUAUCGAUUCGCUGACUUCUUAAGCUGCAGAUCAGCCCUUCCAAUGUGUCUCAUUAGCAGAGGAAGAAAUCCAGGACUUGGGAGGUCAAGCACCAUGCCCAAGGUCAGCUAGCUACUGGAUGACGGAGCUAGGGUGUGGGCCCUGGUCCCUUACGUCUCAGCUAAAGCCCUUUCUGGCCUGCUGUGCUGCCUUCAUGCUCUCUUUCUCCACCGAAACCUUUUGGACCCUAUCUCUUAAUACUUCUACGUCGGCAGUGCGUCGGAUCCCUCCCCAUCUUAGGUUGUGUUUAUAUCCUCGGGUGCUCUCUUGUCUCCAUGGGCGGAAACAGCACCACAGAUCAGGAGCCAGGAAACGCAGGGUCUGUUCGUGGUCUCCAUGGGGCUGUCUUCCAGGGGCCUCCAGUCCUUGCCCAAGCCAGCCCCCGCACGGACACCAGCAGAGAUUGGAGAGGCCUUCCCUGUUAUAGAGAGGAAACAUGGAGGCCAGAAAGGAUAGAAGUGACUAACCCAAGCACACACAGAGAUAACAGUGCAUUGAAGACCAGGAAUCGUUGCCUCUGCUGCAAGGUGUGGCUUCAGGUUUGAGGAGACAUUUAUCUUUUCCUGUGGGUUCUCAUGAGCAGGGAGGCAGAUGCCAGCUCUUCUGAGGAAGCACAUCCUAAUGCUCAGUGUUGUGUGAAUGGCAAGAAGAUUAUCUGAGAGGUAGUGAGCUCCCUGUGGCAGGAGAUGACCAAGUAGAGACUGCAUACAUCCCCCCCGCCCACCAUGGAGCAGGGUUCAGAUUGAAGAGAGCUCAGUGACCUUGGUGCCUACCCAAAGGACCCAGGCCCCCAGGAUCCAAGACUCUUGCCUUGGCUUCUGGGAGAGUCCGGGAGCAGGAAGGGGUGGGGUAUAGCUUCAAAGAUGGAAAAAGCCUUCUGCCUAAAGAGGUCUCAUUGUUGGCCAUCAACCAAAGAUUUUGUGGGACACUCUCAGAAAUGUAGGUCUGGGUCUUAUUAUUUAACCUUAGCCCCUGAGGGGGUGUCUAACUAGAUGAAAGGCCACAGCACUUAGAGGGUGUUACAGAACCUCCUUCUGGGGCAACAAGCCCAGGAAAUGGGCGGGGAUGGUCCCGGACACUCAGUUGGAAUUGAUGGGGCAGAUGAAAGUGCAGGAAAUGGCCCAGCAUUCAAUUCUGGGUAGGAGCCUGGACAUCUUCAUGGACCAGCCAGCUAUGGGCCUCAGCAUCCAGGAGGCCUCUUCUGGGAGGUGAAGCAGGUCUGGAUGCCUAUCCUGGCCCUGCCUUUUAGGAGCUGUGUCUGAGGGUAAGUCACGUGGCAUCUGAGUGUGGGUUCUUGCUCCCCAGGUCAUGGUGGAAGACUCCUCCCUCUCGGGGUGGGGAGUGCCCUCCAAGAGCAGGUAUGUGAUGUUCCUAACACAAAGCGGGGGGAGGAAGUGGUUUGACUCCCACAACUUGAUUUACUGAGAGUGUAGUCACUCUUCGAAGUUUCUUCCUCAGCCUGGGGCCAGCCCAGACCAACUGUGGUUUCCUCUCUCUGUGUGUGAGCCUGUGCGUGUGUGCGUCCAAGUGUGCAUGCGUGUUAGUUAUCUGCCUUUCGCUCGCCGCAGGGUUCAUGUCCACCAGAGGAGCCCAGGACUCUCAGACCUGCCCAACAUGCUGAGACGUUCUGGGGCCCAGCCAGACACAUGUAUACCACAGUUCUUUCAAAGAGCACCUUCCUUUCCAAACUGUCCCCAGAAAGCUUUGAGAAUCACUGAGAGUCACUGCUCAGAAAGGAAGAUUUUUCUUCAGCAGGUUCAGUCCAAGAGGCAGCCAGCCGCAUGAGGAAUGUUCCUGCGUCAUUUCUAAAGCAGCUGUGGACGAUGUUGGUCUGGGCCACCAGGGUUGCUCUCCCAGGGCCUGACCCGUGUUCUGGCGUCUUCUAUGAAUUGGCUGGCAAGAAUAUCUGACUAGUGUAUCAACUUUUAGGGGUAAAGCAUCCCAGGACUCUCCGCCGGGACUAUUUAGGUCUUCCAUACCCAAGAGAAGGCAUUUUUAAGAAUGAUCUCUGCAUCAGUUUGUUAACUGCUGAGUAACAAGUUAGCACAAAUGCAGCAACUUAAAACAACACACACAUUUAUCAACUCACAGGUUCCAUUGGUCAGAAGACAUGGUACGGCUUAGCUGGGUCUUCGGCGCAAGAGCUUGCAAAACUGAAACCAAGGUCUAGGCUGGGUUGUAGUCUCAUCAGGAGGCUCACCUGGGGAAAGAUCCACUUCCAAGCUCACUGGGUUGUGGCCAAAGUCAUUUCCUUGUGGCCGUGUGACCAAGGUCCCUGGCUUUUCUGCUGGCUGGGAGCUGGAGGCCACCCUUAGGUCCUGGAAGCCACCCCCCCUCCCCCACCCCAGUUUCUUGCCACAUGGGCUUUCCCAACAUGGCUGCCAACUUCAUCAGGCCAGUGGGGAGAAACACUCACUCUGGCCUGGAGUUUUAUAUAAAACUCCAUAAUCAUUUGAUUGAAAGCUUAUCAGCCUUUCCUUAUAACAACCUAACCAUGGAAGCGACAUCCUAUCAGCCCUACCCUACUCCGUUGGGUAGAAACAAGUCACAGAUUCUACCAGGGUGGAUAUUAUUUGGGUGACCUUGGGAUUCUUCCUCCACAAUCCUUCACACCUUGGUGAAUCAGCCUGCAUGUACUCACCUCUAUUGAAGAGGGAGCUCCUCCUACUCCAUGCCAGGCAGCACACACACUGGUCUCUGCAGACAGCCAAGUAGGGAUGAUGGGCCUAUGAGCAGAUAACGGCCCUAUGGUAAGGCACAUGCCAAAGGCUGCAUGUUUGAAGGGGUGGGGGUCACAUAGGAUAGAGUGUCUCCUUGGGCUGGGAGGGCAGGGCAGGGCAGAGGGUCAGCGAGGGCUUCCCAAAGGAGCGGACACUGGCGCAGCCUUGAUGGAUCAGUAGGACGUUGAGGAAGACAGAAAUGGUGGCAGAGAAGCCCAAGAUGUGGAGGCAAAAAGGCAAGGGGGGUCUGGGGAGGUAUGAGUGAUCCGGUGUGACCAAUACAAGCACCCUGAGGAGAUGGGGGUGACGCUAAAUUACUGAGGGACUUAUAGGCCAGGCUUAGAGGUGUCUUCCUUCUGGGGUCCAUGGAAGGUCACCAUGAUGCCAUAACUGGGGAACUGGGGACAAUGGCAUGAUAAGCUUGGGGCUUCAGAGAGAGAGGACUUCCAGCAGGAGGCUGAGCUGGGAAGUCACUGUGGGCAGAAGACAAGCCUGGCUCGUCUGUACUAAAGAGGGCCCCCUCCCCGCUCUCCCGCACAGAAACCCCGGGGAAGGCAGACCUUCUUAGAGCCAUUUCAGGCAGCCAGGUUGUCAGAAUGAUGAGUUCUGCAGCCUAGCAGUUCUGAACCAAAGGAGAAAAAAGUCCCAACAAGCCCCAUCUCACUGCCCUUGACCUUGUAGUAGAGUUCUAAGUGCAAAAUCUGUCAUCUAUUAAUCUGUUAGAAGUUGACAAAAGGGACUUUGAUCAGAGGUUGUUUUUCCCCCCUUCUUAAGUUUCCUGAUGACACAUAAUAGCCCAUUUCAGCCUGAGGGCCGGAAGCACGGCCCUCAUUCUGCUCACUUCAACCCCAGUGGCCUCCCGCCCCGUGGCUUUCUCCCCGCCCCGAUAUUAAUUGGCCUGUAAGUGGUUACAUGUGUUCCUUUUUAUGUGUCAGUUGGAGUCUGUUAUUUGAACUUCACAGCUAUUUGGGAACACAGGAGUGAUGCUCUGGGCCCAAGUUGGGAAAUGGAACAGUCCAGAAUUUGUUGUGCUGGCUCCUACCUCCCGAUUUUUUUUCUUCCUCUAUCCCUUGAGGUCUUGAUGUCCCCCGCCACCACCCCCGCUCCCUCCCUAUCAUGCUCCUCUGCGUGAGGCCCCCUGACACAACACGGCAGCCCAGCUCUUGGAACCAUGAAGUUCACAGCCAAGAGAAGCCUCGGGGAGCCCCAAACUGUAGCUUCUGGUUUUAAAGAAAUUAAAAGCCCUGGAGGGGGGAAUGUUUUUUAAUAAAAAUAACGUUUGCUGAGGGGCUAUCGUGUA